GCAUCGCAUGGGCGCAGCCUGAUCCAGCAAUGCCGCGUGAGUGAAGAAGGCCUUCGGGUUGUAAAGCUCUUUUGUCAGGGAAGAAACGGCUCCGGCUAAUAUCCGGGGCUAAUGACGGUACCUGAAGAAUAAGCACCGGCUAACUACGUGCCAGCAGCCGCGGUAAUACGUAGGGUGCAAGCGUUAAUCGGAAUUACUGGGCGUAAAGCGUGCGCAGGCGGUUUUGUAAGUCUGACGUGAAAGCCCCGGGCUCAACCUGGGAAUUGCGUUGGAGACUGCAAGGCUUGAAUCUGGCAGAGGGGGGUAGAAUUCCACGUGUAGCAGUGAAAUGCGUAAAGAUGUGGAGGAACACCGAUGGCGAAGGCAGCCCCCUGGGUCAAGAUUGACGCUCAUGCACGAAAGCGUGGGGAGCAAACAGGAUUAGAUACCCUGGUAGUCCACGCCCUAAACGAUGUCUACUAGUUGUCGGGUUUUAAUUAACUUGGUAACGCAGCUAACGCGUGAAGUAGACCGCCUGGGGAGUACGGUCGCAAGAUUAAAACUCAAAGAAAUUUGACGGG
rnacentral:rRNA from 1 species